CAAGAUACCGGGGGGAGGCGGUGGCGGGCACAAGGGUGAGACACAAGGUGGGUACAACCAACAAGAGCACAGGGGCGGCGCACAAGGUGAGCGCAAGGAAGGGUUUCUUGGCCAGAUGAAGGACAAGAUGCCGGGGGGAGGCGGUGGCGGGCACGAGACACAAGGUGGGUACAACCAACAAGAGCACAGGGGCGGCGCACAGGGUGAGCGCAAGGAAGGGUUUGUUGGCCAGAUGAAGGACAAGAUCCCGGGCAUGACGCAAGGUGGGUACAACCAACAAGAGCACAGGGGCGGUGGCGGUGUUGGUGGCAUGACGCAAGGUGGGUACAACCAACAAGAGCAAAGGGGAGGUGGUGGUUUAGGUGGCAUGACGGGCGGCGCACAAGGUGAGCGCAAGGAAGGGUUUGUUGACAAGAUCAAGGGGAAGAUCCCGGGGGCUGGCGGUGGCAGUGGCGUCCGUGGUGAAGGGGGAGAGAAAAAGAAGGACAGGAAGAAGAAAGAUGAUGGCCAUAGCAGCAGUGACAGCGACUAAAAAUCUUGUACUGCUUCCAUGCAUUUAGGUAUAUACACACAUUUGAUCCCUACUAGCAUGGUUUUUUGUCCUAUUUUUUUCGUUAAUUCUUUUCCCGUCAUUUUUUCUUGAUGUCUUUGUUGACUCUAGAUCAUAAAUUAAUUAUAUUUACGUAUUACUUGUUGCAUGCUCUUCUUCUUACAUCAUGUCAAAGUCAAAAGCUCAAAAAUGGUGAAUAGUUUGUUACACGUCCUGUUCUUCCAUAAUUUUGAUUUCUAACGUAUCCUUCUGUCUUUGCAGGUGUGGAGGAGUGAGAGGUCGAGGUCCUGUCUACCAGUGCUGCAGUUUAUUAUCACUAGAAAAAAAAGAAAAAAGCUGUACUGUUCAAUAUUUUGUAUCUUUGCUUUAAGUGGUGUUGCUAGGCCCGGGAAGAAUGUAAACCGAAAAUGAUAUUAUAAUAAAAUAAUAAUUAUUAUUAACAUUAUGUUUUAUGUGGGUGAUUUUAAUUUGGUCCUGAAAGAAAUUGAUAAACAUAUGUGAAGUAUACCUGCUAUGGUACAGAAGCUCUCACCAUAUAGGAGCUUUACACGUACAUGCAAGAUAUGUUCAUCCUUAAAAUUGUUCUGCCAGCGACAAUGGAAAUUAAACACAUGGAAGGGCUGUAAGAAAUUAAUGGAUUAUAUUGAAGAAAAUUCACCCAUCAUAACAAAGUUUGUCUGAACAGUUUUGAGAUUUUAUUUGCUGGAGGUGAAACACACGCACACACCCUUCUCAACAAAAAUAAAAAAUAAAAAUAAAAUAUUGGACACGUUUACUCCAUUAUUGUACUCUAUCUAUGUCGAAUCAAUUUAUUUAUUAACGCUUGGAAUAUUAAUCUAAAGAUUAAUAAAUUUAUCUGUUUGGAAGGGUGGUUUAAUAAAUCUAUCCGUUGAAAGUUGUGGUUAUUUUACGAAAUAUAUUAAAAUAAUAUAUUUUAAAAUUUUUAAGAUUUUUUAUAUUAAUAAUUAAAAAAUAACUUUUAAAAAAUAAAAUAAAAAUAAAAAUAUUUUUAAAAAUAUUUUUAUAACAUAAAAUUAAAUCGCAGUGAAAAAGAGAUAAUAUGCAUAUACAAUUGAAAAGUCUUUAUCUUUUUUAAUUAUUAUUUAUUUAUAAUUGUCAACGAGUAUUUAUUUGUAUAUUUACAUGUUGAUAAAGAUCCUCCACUCAAUUAUAUUAUGCUUUCAAGGUUAAAUGGAAUAAUAUUAUUAUAACAAUCUCAAGUGGCAUUAGUGUAUUAUGGACAUAGUUUUGGCAUCCCAAAAAAGAAAAUCGGUUAUACAAAAUAUCUUCUAGGGACUAAUUGCUCUUUAGGGGUAUGAUAAAUGAUUAUAAAAUUGCAAUAAUUUACAGUGAACUUUUUUUUUAAUCUAAAAACAUAAUAAAAUAAAAUAUGCUUUUGAAAAGUUAAAAUAAACAGUAUCUUUUACGGUCUACUUUUCUAUAUGAUCCGGGGGAAACUCUUUAAUCAAAUUCUAAAAAAAGAAUUGAAUGAAUUAAAUCUGUAUACCGUAAUUAAAUUUGUCUCAAGCUAAUAAAACAUUAAAAAAUCCAUUAGACACAAUAUAGAAGCCGCAAGGAGAUCUCACUCAUACUGUGGACCGGACUCCUCUUGGUAAAAAAAGACAAUAAAAUUAAUUUAUAAAUUCAGAGCCCAGCUAUUUGUGGACCGAACCUAUUAGUUUUGGGCUGCUGCAUAAACUUCGAUCUGACCAUUGAAAAGGUUAAAGCUUGCAGGUUUAGUUGGCACAUGUUUAAACAAUGUUUCAACAUUAGCAAUUGUGGACCAGACCUAUUAGCAAUUGAAACAUUCUUUUAUUUUUUAAUCAUGUUUAAAAUUAUUUUGAGAUAUUACAUAUUUUUAUUAAUAUAUAUAAUUUUUAAUAUUUUAUUAUAUUUAAACAUUAAUUUUCUAAUUCACGGAUAUAUUUUUUACUUGAUGUCAGAAAAAAACAUUAAUAAUAACUACAUAUUAAUUUUUUUGGGUUGGAAAAAAAAUUAUUAAACUUUUCUAUUUUUAAUUAGAAUUAAAAAAAUACAUUUGAAAAGCUUAUACACUUAGUGUUUUACCAAAAAGAUUAUCCAAUCCGCAGUUGAAGGGUACGAGAAAUAAUAAUUGUACCAUGUUUUUUGAUAUCCAUGAUAAAAUGUAUGGAAAAUAAUUAAUAAAAAUCUAUAUGGUGAUUUUAUUUAUCUUUAAGAAUUGUCAUCCUAGUUGGUUUUUAGGAUUACAUGAAUUAAAAGCUAUAUUCAUAUAGUUGGCACUGAAAUUUCAUAUAUAUAAAAUGCCUUUUUAUACAAGGAAGGUCUUAUUUUUUUUAUUUAAAGCAUAGCUACUGCAAUUUCUAGCCUUUUUUUCCCAUUUACUACACCUUGUUGAUUGGUUGUGGGUAUGAACUAUGAAGGCAUGGCUAAUUUAAUUUCUUUUUUUUUCUUCCUAAUAAAAGCAAAAAAAAAAAAAAAUACCAUCCUGAUUAUAUUGUUUUUAAAUUUUCUUGUCGGUUUUCUUUACCUUUUAUUUUUUUAUUCUUGUUUUAAUUUUUAUUUGUUUGGCUAGUUUAUGAAUUUUAUUAUAAAUAAAAUAUUCAUGAUGUGUCUCGUAUUUAAACAUUAAUAUUUUUUCAUAUAUGAGAAUAGAUUAAAAAGGGAGUUAAAAAUGAAAAGAAAACCUAACAAGUGUAAUUUUAACACUACAAAUUCCCUAAUAUGAAAAAAGAUAAAAUGUUUAGGUCUCUCUAAAGCAAAAACUUCAUAACUUUUAAAGAAUUGACAUGAUUUUUUUAGUGUGAUUCUCAUCCCCUACCUUUAGCCUUUUUAAACAUGGACUUAAGCAAUAAAAUAAAAUAUAUAAAUAUGUUGAUUCAUCAAUACAAUAUUAUCAUAUAUAAAUAUUUGAUGCGAACUUCUUGAUUACGUGGUCAAGCAAUCCCCAACGAUUAUUCUUCCUCAAGAAAGCUGAGAAUCAGGUUUGAGAAGUGUGACACAAUGAAAAUCUGUUUUAAAACACAAAUACUAUCGAAAUUGAAACGAAUGACGCCACAAUAUCAACCUUGAUAAGUUAGAUUUGAUCUUUGUUCCAGUAAAGAUAACGUGUUUCAUCACAAAAAACACAAGUUUAUUUCAUAAAUUCAUGUGUUUUGCUUUUCAACAUACAAAAAACUUAUAUAAUGUUUCAAAUAAUCCUAAUGGAACCCAUGUGUGGGCUGAUUUGAGCCCACUUACAAAAUUAACUCAAAUAAAUAAUAAUAAACUAAAGAUUAAGAAGAAAAUAAUAAAAAUUCAAAGUUAAUAUCCUAGAAUUAGAUUUUCCACCCAUAAAAAGUUUCAAAUAAACUAGGAAAUCUGAUUUGAAUGUGAAAUUAAUUCUGAAGUUUUCUUACCUUGUUGUGCUUAGUUUUCUUGUUUUACAUAGACAAUUAAUAAAGAAAAUCUCUCUCUUUUAUACUUGUCAAUUUAGUUUCCUUUCUAGAUUAGGAGAAUCAUUAAUUAAUCAUUUCUAGUUUAUGAAAUCAAAUCUGGUAGCCCCCUAGCAUCCUUUGUUGAUAAAUACUCUCCUAAAUAAUAGGUAAAAUAAUGAACGAAAUUUUCUUGAAUUUUAGGAGAAUAUUUUGCUAAUUUAAGUCCUUGUAGAAUUAGAAAAUCAAUCCCAAACAAAUCUGAUAUGAUAUGAUCAUAACAUCUUAAUUAACUCAAGCCAACUUUGAACCCCACAUGGCCCAAAUCUAUAUUCAUUAAUUGUGACCAAACCAGCCCCAAAAUAUACUCCAAAUAAACUUUCUUUGCUGCCCAAAAACAUAUCAUGCAUAGCCUGUCAUGAUCUGUUCGAAUUACCCAUCAAAAGAAUUGGGUUGAACUCAUCAUCCAUAAGAACCUCAAUUUAAGUGAAUGCUGAACCAUAUACUAAACCGUAUCAACAACUAGUCUCAAACACAUAACUGAAUACUUACUAUAAAGAAUCAUUACCAGAAAAUCGAUAAAUAUAUAUUGAAAUACUAAGAGAAUUACAGUGGGAAAAAAAUAUUAAAACAAAGCAAAAAAAAAAAUGAUGACAUGUCAUUUUUAAAUUCAUUGGUAAACUGUGAACAUUGUUCAUCAUGUCAAUUACAGAGGGAAUAACUGAUGAAAUUUUAUGUCGGUAUUUUCCAAAGGGCUUCAGAACUAUUCACUUUCUAAUUGCACUGUUAAUUGUAGUUCUUUACAGACAAAAUCACUUACGGAUUGAAAAUUUAUCGGUGUUAUUUGGCGGUUUUCUGAAAAAAUUCGAUGAAUUUAAAAUUUUCAUUUAAUUAUUACAGACGAAAUCACUGACGGAUUGAAAAAUCAUUGGUAAUUGUUGGCGGUUUCUGAAAACGUUUUACGAAAUUAAAAAUUUAAAUUAAAUAUUACCGAUGGAAUUACCAACGGAAUAAUUAAAAAAAUAUUAAUAUUCAAUUAUCCGUUAAUAAAUCCGUCGCUAACGCAUCCUAAUAAAAAGCCUGAAUCCCCUUAUUUCACAAGAGACAAACCCAUUUCUUCUUCUUCUUCUUCACUGUAUGUAAAAAACAACAAUAUCUAUUUCUUUCUCUUCUUUUGUCUCCUCAUCUGCUUCUUUUUUUCUUCAUGUUCAGGUAAGUAUUCUUUUUUUAUCCUUUUAGUUUUUUUUUUAAUUAAUAUGCUUUACAAAAUUUCCUCUCUCUCCUUAGCUUCACUUGCAACUACGGUAAAUUUUUCUUUUUCUUUUUUUCAUGAUUUGUUUCAUUAUAUUUGUUUUUUAUUUUAUUUUUAAAAAUGUUGUUGUGAGAUUUUUUUUUUCCAUAUGAGAUCAUUUUUUAGUUGAUUUAUUUAUAGGAUUUUUAAAUUUUUAGCAAUUGCAACUUCAUUUUUUUUUCAUAUGAAUUUUUUUAGUUGAAUUUUUUUUUUCUUUUUAUUUAUUUGUUGCAAAUUUGUUUGGGUUGAAUUUCUUAUUCUUUUUUCCAAGUAUUUUGAGUAUAUAUUAUAGAGUGUUGAUUCAUGUUGAUUUAAUUAUUUUAUAAUUUUAUAAAAUGAAUUUUUUUAAAAAUGUACAACUAUGCCUAGGAUUUAUACAGUCAAGACAGGGAAUGGAACAAGCACCAAUUGGCACUCUCUCAUGAGAGCCGGCUCUCCUCUGUCCUCCUCUUCCCUUAAAAAUACUCCAAUCCAACCUCCUCCUCCUCCAAUUCCUCUCUUCGUGGGUUUUAUCUUUCCCUAGUACCCAUCAAGAAUCACAGUGAGAGAACCUGUAGAGUAAAACAGAGACUUCAAGAGAAUCCAUUCCGAGCAUAUCGAGAUUACCUGUACAGUAAUAGCCAGGUAGGUCACUUGGCUCUCUGGAAGAGAAAUGGACAGGCUUAUUGGUUUGGACCCAUCGAAUCUUGUAUCUAUCAGAAUUGAACCUCGACAGAAAUGCUAUGCUGAACUCACUCUCCCCAAUGUUAUGUGCACUAUGCCGGUGGCCUUCAGGAUCCAGGCCUUGAACAAGACUCGGUACACGAUCAAGCCACAGUUAGGAUUCAUAUCUCCUCUGGCGAUACUAACUAUAGAGAUCACAUAUCAUCUCUCUCCGGGUUCUCUUCUUCCAGAGACGUUUCCUCACUGUGAGGACUCGUUUCUUUUGCUUAGCGUGGUGGUUCCUGGCGCGGCAAUUAAAGAUGCUACAUCAAGUAUGGAUGCAGUUCCUAUUGACUGGUUCACAACCAGGAAAAAACAGGUGUUCAUAGAUAGUGGAAUCAAAGUCAUGUUUGUUGGGUCGCCAAUUCUUGCUCAGCUGGUUACAGAUGGCUUAAUGGAUGAGUUUCAAAGCCGAUCAGGGUAAAGUCCACUUGAGGCGGCUGCAAGAUCUGGUGAGGCUUUGAUUGUUGAGCUUUUAUUAGCUCGUCGAGCCAGCUCAGAAAGAUCACAGUCCUCAACUUGGGGUCCAAUCCUGCAGCUGGAGGGGGGCAUUUGGAGGUGGCGGUAAAUUAAAGCAGUACGGACAUGUUUGUUUUCUGGAAAAUAAUUUUUGGAAAAUAAUUUUUUAAAUUUUUUUGUGUUUGUUUGCCAAUAGAAAAGUUGAUCAAUGGAAAACACUUUCCAGUAAAAAGAAAAUUUGGUUUGGUUUUCAGGAAAGUGUUUUCCUGAAAAAUUUGGGGGGAAACCACUUUCUGGAAGUUGUGAAAAAUUUAAAAAUGUCAUUAUUUGUUGAUUAUAUUAAAUUUAAUCCUCAAACUUUUGAUUGGUAUAUAUAUUUUGUUUUGAAUAUUUAUUUUUCAAUUUCAUUUCUUAAAAUUUUAUUUUUAUAUUAACUUUGGUCCUUAUUUUUAUAAUUGCUAUUUGCUUUUUCCUUAUCAUAUUUUGAUUAAAAAAAUUUAUCUAUCAAAUUUGGUCCUCAUUCUUUUGAUUGUUACUUAUUUUAUUUGAAAUAAUUUAUGAAAUGUUGAUUAUUAUUAUUUUAAUUUCUUCAUCUUUUAUUUUUAGAAAAAAAAUUUAGAUUUGAUUUCUAUUAUUUUAAUUAUUAUUUAUUUUAUUUGAGAUAAUUUAUGAAAUUAUAUUUUUUUUCAAUUUCAUUCUCAUUUAAUUUUUUAAUUUGUAAAAUUUAUUCUUCAUUAUUUUAAUAAGUUAUGUAUGAAUAUAGGAUAUAAUAAAAAAAAUUCAUCAUUAUAAAUACUUUUUAGAUUUUAUUUUUUUUAAUUGUAAGUGAUUAAAUAUUUUAUAUAUAUUAGAUAAACUUGAAAAAAAAAUUAAUUCAUUAAUAAAUUAUUUUCCAGUUCAUUUUCCAUAACACAACCAAACACUGGAAAGUAUUUUUCAAUUCAUUUUUCAUAACACUGUCAAAUAUCGGAAAAUACUUUCCUGAAAUUUAUUUUUUUCAAAAUUUACUUUCCUAAAAAAAAAGACUUUCCCGCAGAUAAAUUAACCUAAUUCAUGCCCAGAAGAUAGAAGGAAAGAGGAAUAAAGAUAGGAUAGAGAUGGGCCCCUUUUCCUGGUCCCACAACAUUGUAGAUAUUUCUUCAUCAUCCAUAUCUGAUCUCCUCAAUUCAACAUCAUGGUUCCGUGGUUGUUUUUUUUUUUUUUUAAGUGACUUUUGUUUCGAAAUAUCUGGAGUUAAUAUUUUUUUUAAUUUUAUUAUAUUAAAAUAAUAUGAGAACAUGAAAAAAAAUUUAUUUAAAAAAUUAAAAAGAUUUUAUUUUUUUAAAAUAAAAAAAUAAUGAGGCUAUCAAACUUGUGAUCAUCCAUGUAACUUUCAUGGCAGUGGAGUUCUUCCUUUUGCUCAAUUUAAAAAAAAUAAUAAUUAAAAUCCAUGGCACGCCUUUAGUUGUUGGCAGAGGGUAAUCCUAUGGUUAGAAAAAAAUAUAUCUUUAUACUAGUUUGGAUAUUUUACAUGCUUUCUUGUUAAAAUAUGUUUGGGUAUUACAAUAGUUUUUGUUUUUGUCCAAUAACAUAGAAAAAUCUGUAUGAUUAUUUAAAUAAUUUAUGCUUUUCACACCUGGAUUAUAUAUAAUUAUUUUUUAAAUUUUAAUUUUGUAAAAAUUAAAAUAAUAUUUUUUUAUUUAUAAAGAUCUUUCUUUUAUUCAUAAAAAACUGUUUUUAUUUAUUGUACAUGAAAGAAAAAAUUUAUGUUAUUAUAAUUUUAAUAAAACACUAUCUUUUUAAAUUAUAACUAAAAAUAUUUUUAAAAAACUAAAUGCUAUCUUAUGAUAAUACGUUUGGCACUAUGUUUGAAAAGUUUUUUCAAAAAAAAUUAAAUUAUUUUUUAUUUUAAAUUAAUAUAUUUUUGAUAUUUUUAAAUUAUUUUAAUAUAUUGAUUUCAAAAAUAAUUUUUAAAAAAUAAAAAAAUAUUAUUAAUAUACAUUUUUAAAUAAAAAAUAUUUUUAAAAUACAAUCUCUUAUCCCAAACCCCAUCCACUACUUAGGACAAGAGAUCAACAUUACUUAAAUCCCAUCAAUCCAUAUCUUCCCACAGGAGAAAAUGACCAUGGCGGAGACCACAAGUGCCUCCUGCAACCUUUCUUCUUUAAAAUAUUUGGUUAAUUAACAUUUUAAUUAAAAUGAAUUUGCUUCCUUCCCUCGUAUGGUGCCCUAAAGAGGGACCUAACAACUUUCAACAUCACCUUGAGCCUUUGAGAUUAGAUCAAAGGCCUUUCUAAAGGAAAUGAUACGUUGAAGUUUAUUACAUUUGUCAUGAACACUGUGUGUACGCGUACAUGGACAUUUUUGUGAUUUCCAAUGAUACCAUUAGUUUUAUCUUCUUUUUUCUGUCUGCUUCCAUUUCCUUCGCUCCACUUCUGAGCGGCUGAGCCUAUAAAUAUGGCACUUGUUUCCUUCAUCACUUCAUAUCGAAAACCAUUUCAAAGAGAGAAAAAAGAAGAAAGAAAUACACAAUAUAUAUGGCAGGAAUCAUGCACAAGGUUGAGGACACUCUGAACACUGGAGGCAAGAAAGAUGAGCGCAAGGGUGAGACACAAGGUGGGUACAACCAACAAGAUCACAGGGGAGGCGCACAAGGU
rnacentral:lncRNA from 1 species